rnacentral:lncRNA from 1 species
UCAAAAUUGUGCUUCCACCAGUUCUUUCCUUUUCCCUUUUUGCUGGGAUUGGUUUCCACUUCCUCAACUGCUGAAUUCCCUUAUUUGAAUUGCUUUUCUUCUCAUUCAUUCCUUUUCCCUUUUUGCUAAGAUUGGGUUCAACUUCAACAGCUACUAAAUCCUCUGUUUCACUAUUUUCAUCUUCAACAUUAAUGUCAGAUUUUUUGUUUUUUGAGUCAACAACUACGCCGUCAUCGUUCUUCCCCACGAGCAAGCUCGUUAGCGCCACUAGUAGGGCCGCCUCGCCUCCAUGCUCUUCAGAAGCUCCUGUAUCUCUGCCAUGGCUUUAGAAUCAUACUCACUGCAAUCAAGGGCAGUAAUUAAUGAUUGGAGUUAAAACAAUAACAGAUAGUUUAAGUCUUAUGGGAUCUAACUAACAAUAAACAAACUGCAAUAAGGCUGGACCAUGAAAUAUAAUUAAUAGUUUUUGAAGAAAAAAUCAAAUAAACAGAACAAUAGACACAUGCCUGAGAGUUUGACAGUUAUGUAUAAUUUUGAAAAUCAGCAGUUUCUUUUGGAUUUAUGCUAUUAGGAGAGUCACAAUGUUAACCUUAUUUCAGUUAAAAAACAAAACCAAAAUCUGUAAAAGAAGAAUUGAACAGCCUAAACUCAUCUCUAUCAAGCAUUUUAUCAAACAGUUUUUGGGCCUAAACUCCAAUCACCAAAAUGGAGCAGAAGUCAAUGGUGGUGGUCAGAUUUAAUUAAUGCAGACAUGUCAAAGUGAUUAAAUAAAAAAACUGCAGAGAAUUGUGGUCACAUUUCUCAGGCCAUUCGAUUUCAUGAACAAGAGUAAUAAUGGUCUUGUAAAGAUGAUAUACAUAUGGAAUUUGUAAAUUUCAAUUCAACAAAACAUCCAAUAACACAAUUCUUUCAUAAAGAUGAAAUACAUUUUUUUUCGAAAAAAACCUAGCACAUACAAUCGUUUUUGUCUGCUCUCACAUUUUCAAAUAAAAAUCAACAUCAGGUUCGAUUCGCAAGAACGAUUUACGCACAUACCGUGUUGUCGAUUCCAUCGUGAAAAUUAUUCCUGGUAUUGCACAGCAAAACUUCCGUAUAGUUCUUCGUCGGCGAGAACAUCAACGUUUUUUUGUAGAGAAUGAUGAGUUGAAAGAAUCAGACGCCCAAAUUUAGGGUUGAUAAAAUUUGAAUUUGAGGGCAAAAUUGAGAUUUGGAUCCAUGAUAAUUUUGAUAGUUUGCGUAUCAGAGGGGGGGUGGCAUAUUCCUAAACGGGAUUCAUCUCUGUAAAGUGGCCCGGGCCCUUGCAUAAUGCUGGGCCGCCUGUGUUACGCGUGAAGGCACCAAACGAUCGUUUCUCACCAGAUUAAUAUGCUAAUACAACGUUAAACACUGCAGCAAACGUGCCCUGAGUGUUAUGAUAGAAUCGCCGUUUUAAUUAAAGCAAUC